CUCUUGCGACAAUUUCACGAAAAAUUCACAUAUCUUUGGCCUCAUUUUCAAAUGCUGCGACGAUUUAUCGUUCGAGGAAAUUUCAAAAGUUUGCAAUAAAAACGUGAAUCAUUAAAUAAAACAUAAAAUGACUGCUAAACAAAGGAAGACAUUUGACAAAUUUUGUUUGCGGGGCGGAGGCCACUUUCGGGUGAUUCGACAAGUGAGGAAAGAUUUAUGAAAAUUUUGAGUUCAUGCGGAUACACAUAAUCUCAGUUUGACUUAUGGGAGUUCGCAGAAGAAAUAGAUAGGUCUCGUUAAUAUUUUAGAGUAAAAAAUGAGUACUUUGUCAAGAAUAAAGGUAUAUAUUUAUUUAACAAUCACGAAAAGAAUUGAAAAAUUGAUUAUAUUUCACAUAAUACAGUUAUUCUUCAUAAUAAAUUAGAAAUUUAUGCUCGAAUAGUCAGUUUGUACAUUUUUUCUCCUUCUAUAAUGCAUAAUUCCUCGUUUAUUUAAUUUUAUUAAAAACAGCAAUUAAUUUUACUAUAUCUUUAUUGCUGA